UCCGACCUUGAUUUCAUAUUUUCACGUGAAUUUCAGCAUUUAUCCAUUUAUGAAGUGGAUUGCUUUGUAUUUUAAGUGUGGGUCAUGGAGCAUGAUCACAUGUGAUUACUUUUCCCCUAAAUAAGCUGUGCGUGGUUCUAACAAUUUUUUAUGUUAGAUUGAGAUUGGUUGCAGCUGACGGACACUGCAAGAAGGGACAGCUGUUGUUGCAGCUCAGCAGGCCAUGGGACGCUAAAGACGCGUUCAGAGCGGCCAUUGAGCUGGACAAAAACAGCAAGGAGGCGGCCGCCGGGUACCAGCGCUGUCUGACGGUCCUGGACCAGGACGUCCACCAGGCCCGGGUCAGGAUUAGCCAACAGCCAGGGGUACAGCGCUGUCUGCAGGAUCACAGGAUGAAGGAGGCGCUCAAACUGAUGCAGGAGGACCCCAUGCAGGCGCGCAGGCUGAUGAGGGACAGUGUGGUGGUGAGGGAAGGUCUUCAUCUGCUGGUUCAGAGUGGAGCCAUCAUGCUCCGGUAACCACCUACCGCGCUGCAGAACAGGAGAACCACGCCUGGUUCCUGACGCUGCAGAGCAGGAGAACCGUGCCUGGUUUCUGGCGCUGCAGAACGGGAGAACCAUGCCUGGUUUCUGGCGCUGCAGAACGGGAGAAUCACGCCUGGUUCCUGGCGCUGCAGAACAGUGGGAAGCUGGUCCAGCAUACCAGGGUCCUGCAAGUUUUGCAGCUUUGGCUCAAUUCAACAGCGAGAAGGAAUAACCAAUGGUUUCUGAGGGGUCCUCAAAGCGCACCACGAUAGGCGGCACGGGCGGACAUCGACAGCAGCGCCUCUAUCGGUCACUAGGGAAAGCUGGGCUGUUUUUGUUUUGUUUAUUUGUUUAUUUGUAAUUAUCACCAACAGAGAAAUUCUCCACUAACAGGUGAAGUCAGGAAAAUAAAAUGCAUCAACACA